UUGGUCAGUGCAAGUUAUGCCUUUGCUUUGAAAAGGAGAAUUUUGCUUUUCUUAUAAAUUGGUCAUCUUUGAAAAAGUGUUGUACAUCUGUCAAUGCUGGAAGGUUAACGAGUUGUCAGUCAGGCCCACUUGGGUGGAAAGCAGAUCUAUGGACUAUUUUUUUUUUUGGCAUCUAAACUUAUAAAAAUGUCAUUUUUUGCCAUACAUUUCAAAAGCAAAGGAAAGAUCUGCGGGUGAAGGAGGAGCUCAGAGAGUAUCACUGUCAAGAAGAUGAUUCUGUACAUCUAGUGGGAAGCACCUUGUUCAAACACAUUUAGACCUUAAAAGAGAAAUAAUGCUGAAAUGAGGAGUUAAAACGGGAGAACAAGAAAUAAAUCAGACCAGAAUGAACAGGAAAAGCUACUAAAAAACACUAGAGUAUAAUUGUGAUGGGGUGUACCUGGCCUUUCCAAGCACCCUGCUAGAAACUCUAAGAUCCUACUACAUCCCUCCCCAAGAAAGCAGCAGUGAAGAUGGGUCCCCCAGGCCUCCCUAGAAAGGCUACACAGAUGCAGCCAAGCAGAGCCCAGCAGUCUUAGCUGCAGGUCUGUUCCUAGCUGGGGCCAGAGGGGCAAAGAAGGGUGCUUUGCUCUGCCCAAAAGAAGCUCAAUGAGCUGUAUUUGCCAAACCUGGGAGCGUGAGGACCUGAGAGCUCUAGCCCUAAGGUAAUGGACAGAGGUGAAGAGGCCAGGUGGGAAGAGGCCCAGCAACAACCAAGCAAAGGAAGCAGCAUGUGGCCACUAUUUAUAGGAUCUCUGGGUUGGGACCCGGGUUCCCCCACUAGCCAGUGCUGGAGUGGCGUAAGCCCCGGAAAGGAGACACAGCUAGUUUAAAAGCCCCCAGAAAGGGGCCCCGAGCCAGACCUGAAAGCCCCGGUGAGAAUAAACCAGCAGUUCUGGUGGGACUCUUUACUAAGUCUUGAGAUGGGGAUACGGUUCCUUUAGAAGCCCAAGCAGAGGGCUGGGUUUAAAGGAGCCCAAGAGGGACUGAAGCGAAAAGACACCCUCAGGAAGGAGGGGCUGAGCCCAGCUUGAGCCAGGGAUUGGAAGACUUUUGUUUGUAUGUUUUGGACUUGAAUACCCCAGAAAGGAUUCAUAUUGACUGCAUGACAUGACCGGAGGGCUCAGCCACUGAAGACCUGCCUAAAGAGGUCGACAAUCUACAGGGGGAGCCAGGAGAAAAAAAGAUUGCAGCACCACGCACGGACGACCAGAGGCAUUCAUAGAGAGCUGAAUAGAUUUUGAAUUGAGUUCAUCAUGAAAUUACAGUAAAAAAGACAACUUGCCAAAGAAAAUAAAACAAGAAAAUUCUAUCAAAUAGGAUGACAAAGGCAGAUCUAGUGCAUGGCCAGAACAGAUACAACACAUGGAAUGGAAAAGGUUGCUCCACUGCCUAAUCGUCUCAACCCAUAACUGAAGUGACAAUCUCCAUGCCAACACAAUCCUUGGCCUCUCCAAUGAGAUGUCAAAAAGAGUGCCACUUAGUGCCAAGGGUAUGGUGAUAUGGACACUACCACUGGCAUCACUGGACACAGAUCUGUUCAUUAGAGACUGAACAGAGACCACCAGCUUAUUUUAUUUCUUUAUUUUUAUUUUUUUGCUAACUAAUUCCUUUAUUGUCAAGUUGUCAACUCCAAUGCAGGGUUUGUAAAGCCAGAAUAUCAAAAACUGUAUAGUGUAUAAAACAAAAUAUAUUAUAGGUGGAGUAGUCCUGAUAUCACUUUUCCUAAUGUCAGCUUGCAUUAAUGAGAUGCAUUCAGCAUGACUCUAGUGUUCAGAAAAGGCCUCAAAAUGCAACUAACUUGGCAUUUCUAGUCACAUUUGCACAGAAGUGCUCCCCACUAAUAUGCAAGAUUGACUCAACCUAUUUAAAAGGGAAAAACCAGAUAAAGAAGGGGUUAAGAUGCUAGCCUAGAAGCUUUUUACAUUGCCAUAUGGCAAAGACAGGUUUCCAAGCAGCCGCGGACUCUUGCUUCCCCAGUCACUGGAGUUUGGCCAUGAUGUAAACAAAAGGCCUGAUCCUAAGCUUUAA